GGGCGUAUAGCUCAGUUGGUAGAGCAGCUGACUCUUAAUCAGCGGGUCGUAGGUUCGAGCCCUACUGCGCCCACCA
rnacentral:tRNA from 2 species